rnacentral:rRNA from 1 species
GACGAACGCUGGCGGCGUGCUUAACACAUGCAAGUCGAACGGAAAGGCCCUGCUUUUGUGGGGUGCUCGAGUGGCGAACGGGUGAGUAACACGUGAGUAACCUGCCCUUGACUUUGGGAUAACUUCAGGAAACUGGGGCUAAUACCGGAUAGGAGCUCCUGCUGCAUGGGGGGGGUUGGAAAGUUUCGGCGGUUGGGGAGGGACUCGCGGCUUAUCAGCUUGUUGGUGGGGUAGUGGCUUACCAAGGCUUUGACGGGUAGCCGGCCUGAGAGGGUGACCGGCCACAUUGGGACUGAGAUACGGCCCAGACUCCUACGGGAGGCAGCAGUGGGGAAUAUUGCACAAUGGGCGGAAGCCUGAUGCAGCACCGCCGCGUGCGGGAUGACGGCCUUCGGGUUGUAAACCGCUUUCGCCUGUGACGAAGCGUGAGUGACGGUAAUGGGUAAAGAAGCACCGGCUAACUACGUG